rnacentral:rRNA from 1 species
GACGGAGGAUGCAAGUGUUAUCCGGAAUCACUGGGCGUAAAGCGUCUGUAGGUGGUUUAAAAAGUCCACUGUUAAAAAUUGAGCUUAACUUCAAAGAUGCCGUGGAAACUUUUAAACUUGAGUAUGAUAGGGGUAGAGGGAAUUUCCAGUGGAGCGGUGAAAUGCGUAGAUAUUGGAAAGACCACCAAUGGCGAAGGCACUCUACUGGGCCAUUACUGACACUGAGAGACGAAAGCUAGGGGAGCGAAUGGG